rnacentral:rRNA from 1 species
GACGAACGCUGGCGGCGUGCUUAAGACAUGCAAGUCGUACGAGAAAGUCUCUUCGGAGAUGAGUAAAGUGGCGCACGGGUGAGUAACGCGUGGGUAAUCUGCCCUUAGGUUUGGGAUAACCCCGGGAAACCGGAGCUAAUACCGAAUGAGACCACGAUGAUUUCGGUCGACGUGGGAAAAGGUGGCCUCUUCUUGAAAGCUAUCGCCAAAGGAUGAGCCCGCGUUUGAUUAGCUAGUUGGUGAGGUAAUGGCUCACCAAGGCUACGAUCAAUAGCUGGUCUGAGAGGACGAUCAGCCACACUGGAACUGAGACACGGUCCAGACUCCUACGGGAGGCAGCAGUCAGGAAUAUUGGGCAAUGGGCGAAAGCCUGACCCAGCAACGCCGCGUGAAGGAUGAAGGCCUCGGUCGUAACUUACUGUCGAGAGGAAGAAUAGCGUGCGGUGAAC